CCGGCAGCGCACCGCCGCUGCAGCUCCGGCCUGCGCUAGGUUUCGCUGGCGAGGCCGAGCGCGCAAGGCGGCCGGCAGGCAGGUGGUGCAUCUUCCAGAGGCCGCGGGGCCCUCGGAAAAGCAGCGGGAGAGCUGCGCCCCUUCGAGGGGGUGGUUGCGCUGCGGUCCUGCGGGAGGGGGCGGUGCUUCGGCUGGCGGCGCUCCAGCAGAAAAUGGCGACCGUGAGGCUGGGCGCGUCAGUGCGGGGGUUGGAGCUGGUGAGGUGGCAGUAGCUGUCGUCAGCCUUCUCCUGGGGAUGCUACAUGGGACACACUUGACACUUGCAGCACUGUACAUUGAAACCAAUGUCUUCAAAGACAGGAGUGAACCUUUGUCACAACAGUUUCUUAAUGUUUGUUUUGUUCCAAUUGGCUGUAACGUGAAACAAGAAAUCCAGAACAAAGCAGCGUGUCUUCCAGGAAGGCGCCAAGGAGCGUUUGCACAAGGCCUUCC
rnacentral:lncRNA from 1 species